GAUCAUGACUCAGGAUGAACGCUGGCGGCGUGCUUAACACAUGCAAGUCGAACGAAGCACCUUGAUUUGAUUCUUCGGAUGAAGAUCUUGGUGACUGAGUGGCGGACGGGUGAGUAACGCGUGGGUAACCUGCCUCAUACAGGGGGAUAACAGUUAGAAAUGACUGCUAAUACCGCAUAAGACCACAGCACCGCAUGGUGCAGGGGUAAAAACUACCGGUGGUAUGAGAUGGACCCGG
rnacentral:rRNA from 1 species